UACGUAGGGGGCUAGCGUUGUCCGGAAUCAUUGGGCGUAAAGCGCGCGUAGGCGGCCCGGUAAGUCCGUUGUAAAAGUCAAAGGCUCAACCUUUGAAAGCCGAUGGAUACUGCCGGGCUAGAGUCCGGAAGAGGCGAGUGGAAUUCCUGGUGUAGCGGUGAAAUGCGCAGAUAUCAGGAAGAACACCCGUGGCGAAGGCGGCUCUCUGGGACGGUACUGACGCUGAGACGCGAAAGCGUGGGGAGCGAACAGG
rnacentral:rRNA from 1 species